rnacentral:rRNA from 1 species
AUUGAACGCUGGCGGCAGGCCUAACACAUGCAAGUCGAACGAGUGGCGGACGGGUGAGUGAGGGCGGAGAACCUGCCUGAUGUAGGGGGAUAACGACUGGAAACGGUAGCUAAUACCGCAUAACAUGCGAUGUGCCCUGAUGGAAUUAGCUAGUAGGUGGGGUAAAGGCUCACCUAGGCGACGAUCCAUAGCUGGUCUGAGAGGAUGACCAGCAACACUGGAACUGAGACACGGUCCAGACUCCUACGGGAGGCAGCAGUGGGGAAUCUUGCACAAUGGGCGCAAGUCUGACGCAGCCAUGCCGCGUGUAUGAAGAAGGCCUUCGGGUUGUAAAGUUCUUUCAGCGGGGAGGCGUUACCCGAAGAAGAAGCACCGGCUAACUCCGUGCCAGCAGCCGCGGUAAUUC